AACGUAGGACGCAAGCGUUAUCCGGAGUUACUGGGCGUAAAGGGCGGGCAGGCGGUCUGUCAAGUGGGGUGUGAAAGCUCCCGGCUUAACCGGGAGAGGCCAUUCCAGACUGACAGACUGGAGGGCAGGAGAGGUAGGCGGAAUUCCGGGUGGAGUGGUGAAAUGCGUAGAGAUCCGGAGGAACACCGGUGGCGAAGGCGGCAUCCUGGACCGACACUGACGCUGAGGAGCGAAAGCCAGGGGAGCAAACGGG
rnacentral:rRNA from 1 species